CUUUCGUUUCUUUCGCUUAAAUUGUGAUGUCUCGUCUAUUCUCGCUUCAGCUUUCAGAACCUCCCCCACUGGGUCAUGCAGAUUACUGGAGAAGUAGUGUCUCUUGGCGUCAUCAUUAUUUUUCUCCACCCCUAGAGAAAAAGUAGGUCAGCAAACCUCACUGGGAGACGUUCCAGAAACUUCUUGGUGUCGUUCCCCUGCAGUGAUGUCCAUUCGUAAUGUCCAGAAGCUUUGCCAUCUGACCCCUUGCUUCCCAUACCCUGAACGUGAUACCACAGUCUUUAACGAUCGUCUGUAGUGUUUGUAGGAAAAACUCAAGGCGGUACUCUGUUUCAUCAAUAGUGAGUAGUGGGUGUGAAAUGAUGUCGUUCAACUCCUUCAAUACCUCAGAUAGUCCUGAACUAAUUGUUUCAUACGACUCUUCGGCUUUUAGGCCAGCAAAAGUAUGAUUGCCUGUAUGAAUGUCAAUAUAAAAAUAUUUUCACCACUUUCUCGUUUAAUAUUUUUAUUGGUAAGCUUACCUAUGCCUGAUAAAACAUUGUCUUGAAUUUCUG